UUUUUUUUUUAAGACAGGUCUCACAAAGCUGAUCUCAAACUCCUGGGUUCAAGAGAUCCUCCUGCCUCUGCCUCUCAAAUAGCUGGGAUUAUAGGAAUGUCUCUCCAAAUGCCAAGCUUCUGAUGGAAAAUUCUAAACAUAAACCAAAAUAGAGCAAAAUGAAGAAAAUAAUAAUAGUUUGCCAUACACUUAUCUACUCAUUUGUGCUUAAGUAUUUUUGAGAAAAUCUUAGACAUCGUGUCAUUGAAACAUAUCAAGGUACAUCUCUAAGACCUGGGGACUUUUUUUUUUUUUACAUAAUUCCAAUGCCAGCAUCACACCUAACAAAUUUAACAAAUAGUUUCUUAAUAUCAUUUAAUAUACAAC
rnacentral:lncRNA from 1 species